rnacentral:rRNA from 1 species
UACGUAGGGGGCAAGCGUUGUCCGGAUUUAUUGGGCGUAAAGAGCGUGUAGGCGGCCUGACAGGUCUGCUGUGAAAACUCGAGGCUCAACCUCGAGAUGUCGGCGGAAACCGUCUGGCUAGAGUCCGGAAGAGGAGAGUGGAAUUCCCGGGUGUAGAGGUGAAAUGCGUAGAUAUCUGGAGGAACACCGGUGGCGAAGGCGGCAUCCUGGACCGAGAUUGACGCUGAUGCGCGAAAGCCAGGGGAGCAAACGGG